GAUGAACGCUGGCGGCGUGCCUAAUACAUGCAAGUCGAGCGAACAGAUGAGGAUCUUGCUCCUCUGACGUUAGCGGCGGACGUGUGAGUAACACGUGGAUAACCUACCUAUAAUACUGGGAUAACUUCGGGAAACCGGAUCUAAUACCGGAUAAUAUAUUGAACCGCUUGGUUCAAUAGUGAAUGUCGGUUUUGCUGUCACUUAUAGAUGGUUCCUCGCCGCAUUAGCUAGUUGGUAAGGUAACGGCUUACCAAGGCAACGAUGCGUAGCCGACGUGAGAGGGUGAUCGGCCACACUGGAACUGAGACACGGACCAGACGCCUACGGGAGGCAGCAGUAGGGAAUGGUCCGCAAGGGACGAAAGCAUGACGGAGCAAGGCCGCGUGAGUGAUGAAGGUGUUCGGAUCGUAAAACUCUGUUAUUAGGGAAGAACAAAUGUGUAAGUAAAUAUGCACGUAAUGACGGUAACUAAACAGAAAGCAACGGCUAACUACGUG
rnacentral:rRNA from 1 species